CUGCUCAUAGCCAUGGGAUCUCCAACUGCAUGCCAGAGUAACGGAGAGACUUUGACAGCCCAGGUUAUCACAGUGCCUGCUGUUGCCACUCAGCUCUCCUAUAUGU
ensembl:snoRNA LOC120096789 small nucleolar RNA SNORA44